GGAUGUGAGGGCGAUCUGGCUGCAACAUCGGUCACCCCAUUGAUUGCCAGGUUGACUUGGCUGAUCAGGCUGGCUAGGCAGGUGUCUCCUUUCUCCCUCACUGCUUCAUGUGUGUUCCUCCCAAAGCUGUGCAUGGGUCAAAGAGGAUGACCACCCCCUCCCCUCCCCCCAGUAAGGAGGACUGUUUUCUCAGUCAAGGGUUUGCACGUAGCUGUGCUUCCCUGCUAGAACCUGCAAACAAGCUCUCAAGGAUCCUAGGCUACAAAAGUGAGUUCAAGGCCAGCUUGGACUACGUAGCGAGACCUUAUCUCAAAACAAUAACAGCAACAACAAUAAGCCCAAAAUAUUGU
ensembl:misc_RNA 7SK 7SK RNA